AUACUGUGGUGAGGGCAUCAACGAAGUAACUCCUUGAAUCUUUCCUAUGCCUCCUAUAGGGGCUCAUCAUCCAUCUGCUGAAAAGUGGUGAUCUCAUUCUGCAACUU
rfam:Gossypium raimondii Chr02_contig_1024, whole genome shotgun sequence.